rnacentral:rRNA from 1 species
CCGCGGUAAUACGGAGGGAGCUAGCGUUGUUCGGAUAUACUGGGCGUAAAGCGCACGUAGGCGGCGCCGCAAGUCAGGGGUGAAAUCCCGGAGCUCAACCCCGGAACUGCCUUUGAAACUAGUAGGCUAGAAUCUUGGAGAGGUCAGUGGAAUUCCGAGUGUAGAGGUGAAAUUCGUAGAUAUUCGGAAGAACACCAGUGGCGAAGGCGACUGACUGGACAAGUAUUGACGCUGAGGUGCGAAAGCGUGGGGAGCAAACAGG